CCAGCAGCCGCGGUAAUUCCAGCUCCAAUAGCGUAUAUUAAAGUUGCUGCAGUUAAAAAGCUCGUAGUUGAAUUUCGGGACCAUCAUGUCGGUCGUGCCUCGGUACGUACUGGCAUUGUUGGUUUCUCCCUUCUGAAGAACCAUGAUGUCAUUAAUUUGGUGUCUUGGGGAAUCAGGACUGUUACUUUGAAAAAUUAGAGUGUUUAAAGCAGGCUCGCGCUUGAAUACAUUAGCAUGGAAUAAUGAAAUAGGACGUUUGAUUCUAUUUUGUUGGUUUCUAGGAUCGACGUAAUGAUUAAUAGGGAUAGUUGGGGGCAUUAGUAUUCAAUUGUCAGAGGUGAAAUUCUUGGAUUUAUUGAAGACUAACUACUGCGAAAGCAUUUGCCAAGGAUGUUUUCAUUAAUCAAGAACGAAAGUUAGGGGAUCGAAGACGAUCAGAUACCGUCGUAGUCUUAACCAUAAACUAUGCCGACUAGGGAUCGGAUGAUGUUAAUUUUUUUAAUGACUCAUUCGGCGCCUUACG
rnacentral:rRNA from 1 species